CGAGCCGUGUACUCCCAGAUGGCGUCAGGGUCGAGCAGUGCCUGCUCGCCGAAGUACGCGCCGUCGGCGAGCACCCCGAGCACCGCGUCGUCCCCGUAGGGUCCCGUACCGAGUUUCUCGACCCUGCCGUGCGCGAGGAGGAACACCUCGUCCGCCUGGCUGCCGAACUCGGCGAGCACGUCGCCCGGCGCGAACCUCCGCUGCUGGCACCGCCGGGCGAGUUCGCCGAGCACCUCCAGGUCCUCGUACUCGCGCAGCGCGGGCAGUUCGCCCAGCUCGGCCGGGAUGACCGUGACCUGGUCGCCGGUCUUCACGAACGUCACGCGGCCGUCGCCCACCGAGUAGGCCAGACGGCGGUUCACACGGUACGCACCACCCUGUACGUCCACCCACGGCAGCAUGCGCAGCAGCCACCGUGAGCUGAUCUCCUGCAUCUGUGGUGCGGACUUGGUGGUGGUGGCCAGGUUCCGCGCGGCCGUGGUGCCGAGACUCUGCUGCGGCUUGUUGC
rnacentral:antisense_RNA from 1 species